GGAAUCUUCCACAAUGGGCGAAAGCCUGAUGGAGCAACGCCGCGUGUGUGAUGAAGGGUUUCGGCUCGUAAAACUCUGUUGUUAAAGAAGAACAUAUCUGAGAGUAACUGUUCAGGUAUUGACGGUAUUUAACCAGAAAGCCACGGCUAACUACGUGCCAG
rnacentral:rRNA from 1 species